rnacentral:rRNA from 1 species
UACGAAGGGGGCUAGCGUUGUUCGGAAUCACUGGGCGUAAAGCGCACGUAGGCGGAUUUUUAAGUCAGGGGUGAAAUCCCGAGGCUCAACCUCGGAACUGCCUUUGAUACUGGGGAUCUGGAGUUCGGGAGAGGUGAGUGGAACUGCGAGUGUAGAGGUGAAAUUCGUAGAUAUUCGCAAGAACACCAGUGGCGAAGGCGGCUCACUGGCCCGAUACUGACGCUGAGGCACGAAAGCGUGGGGAGCAAACAGG